UUUAGUUACACAUAAAAAAGUAAAAAUUUUUUAACAAUUUUGUGUGUUGUCUUAUUUCUUGUAUGGAUAUAUGUAUGUGAAAUCAUCAAUUUGAAGUUAUUUCACAUUUGUUUAAGUUUGGCUAUAGGUAAUAUUAAUAUAAAAAAUUAUGUAACACUAAAACUUAACCAACCUCCAAUUUCAAAACAACAUAAAAUAACCAGUAGUUGAGAA
rnacentral:misc_RNA from 1 species